AGAAAAAUGAAGCGACUAGAAGAGUGGGAGGGAGGAUGAGGAAGGACGCCUGCGUCCUCGAUUGUCUGGAGUUGGUCGGCAGCCUCCUCCGGACGAGGACAGGUAAAGCCUGGGUAAAGCAGAGCAACUAUCAACAUCUAGUCAAACCUGAGGCCCUGCAGUCUGCAUUAACAAUUGAAACUUCUGCAAUGCAUUUCCGAAGGCUCCUUAGAAGAUCUCACAGAACCAAGCAGCAGUUUUCCGAAGCAGCAACCAAGUGAAGAGUGCUUCUUUGCACUGACUAUCCUUCCUCCUUUUUCACUCUCCA
rnacentral:lncRNA from 1 species